UACGAAGGGGGCUAGCGUUGCUCGGAUUGACUGGGCGUAAAGGGCGCGUAGGCGGUCAGCACAAGUCAGUUGUGAAAUCUCCGGGCUUAACUCGGAAAGGUCAACUGAUACUGUGCGACUAGAGUGCAGAAGGGGCAACUGGAAUUCUCGGUGUAGCGGUGAAAUGCGUAGAUAUCGAGAGGAACACCUGCGGCGAAGGCGGGUUGCUGGGCUGACACUGACGCUGAUGCGCGAAAGCCAGGGGAGCGAACGGG
rnacentral:rRNA from 1 species